rnacentral:rRNA from 1 species
AACGAGCGCUGGCGGCGUGCUUAACACCUGCAAGUCGAACGGAGUUGCGAACGGGUGAGUAACACUUGGGUGAUCUGCCUUGCACUUCGGGAUAAGCUUGGGAAACUGGAGCUAAUACCGGGUAUUGGAAGAUGAGCUAGCGGCCUGUCAGCUUGUUGGUGGGGUAAUGGCCUACCAAGGCGUCGACGGGGAACCGGCCUGAGAGGGUGUCCGGCCACAUUGGGACUGAGAGACGGCCCAGACGCUUACGGGAGGAAGCAGUGGGUAAUAUUGUACAAUGGGCGGAAGCCUGAGGCAGCGACGCCGCGUGGGGGAUGAAGGCCUUCGGGUUGUAAACUCCUUUCGACAGGGACGCGGUACCUGUAUAAGAAGCACCGGCUAACUACGUGCCAGCAGCCGCGGUAAUAC